UCUAGGGUAGCCUAGUGGACAUGGCAUCUGCCCGGUAAGCGGAACAUUGUGGGUUGGAUUCCCAUCCCUAGAC
rnacentral:tRNA from 1 species